CAUGAUAUUUUUCUUAAUGUACCAGUGGACCAGCAAAAGAGCCUGGCCUGCUGAGCUCUCCCCCUUAUUGUAAACCUCAGGAACCCCAUGGAGCCUGAACAGUUAGCUGUAGGCGAGCAGGACCUGCAGGUUCAUCAGAACCCUGCACUGGAAAAGCAGUAUGAAAAUGGAUGGAUGGAUGGAUGAACAGAUGAACCGAUGAUAACUCUUGAGCUCAUACAGGACACAGACGAGUGGAUCUUCACGUGCAGCAGUGUUCAUUCUAGGUGUACCAUAUCCUUCUGGCAUGAGUCACACCUGCAGCCCAGGGGGAGGGCACCGAACAUCCUUACCCGCUGAGCGACAGUACCACCUGAGGGAAGAAGCCCUCACAGCUUCCCUUUCAGAGGUGCAUGCAGAUAAGGGGACCCAUCAAGCCAUAUUUAACAAGGUUUGAUAGCGAACUUUCAUCGACCAAUUUCAGCCCUCAACAUCCCCUUUAAGAACCUUGAACCUAACCCACAGUGCCAGCAGGUGUUGUAUAUAAACAAGAAUUUGAUUCUGAGCCUCAAAGGAUAGUGAAAGAGAUGUGGCUAACUUUGACUGCCGCUAUCAGUGUUAGACGAUAAUAUGAUAGCAGUUAUCAGCUUGGUAAAUUGACUUGGGGUUUCUUAAUCAGUCUGUUCGUGUUUACAUAAAAGGGGCGGUGUCGGCAUUGCAAACUAACAAUGCCAUCUGAAAGCCACACUUUGAUAGGACUUUGAUCGGUGGGUAAUACACCCCCCCAGUCCUGCUCUGCAAACUUUAUUGUCAACACCCCCAUCUCCCCAGCAAAUUUAAUCCAAAUUUAUAUUAGCCGAUUAUUGGUACCAGGAUAAAAACCUUGGUAUUACUUGGUAUUGGAUCAAAAAGAAAAUCAGUGAUAUCCCUUUUAUUUUGUCAAAGGGCAGUUCUGUUUUUUUGGUGAAAGGGUGGUCUGUAUAUAUGUUUUGGGUGAAAGGGUGGUCUGUAUAUAUGUUUUGGGUGAAAGGGUGGUCUGUAUAUAUGUUUUGGGUGAAAGGUUAUGCCAGUUUUACUCCAAAGGACUUCACUUGCUAUUCAGAGCAGGUUAGGUGUACAGUGUAAAUUUACCUUGGUGAUAUUAAAUUUAUCCUAUUUAAAAAUGAGCUACAAUCUGUAGUAGUCAAAACACAGAAGAAAGCAAGAA